GCACAGAAGACUUGUCAAUGCUGAUUUGUGAGAUAAUUAUUAAUGCAUUUAGGAUGAGAGGUUGGAAUCAAUGCCUGCACCAGGAAGACAACUCAACACAACUUUCCUUUAAUAAGUCAGCAGCCUCAGAAGAUGUAGCACACAGAUACCCUGACCUGCUUAUCACACAGCUGACUCUCAUCUUUCAAGGAGGUUAUGAUGAUCUACCAGAUUACACUCUGGCAUGAAACUGGAACGUGAAGCUUUACAUGGUUCCUAGCAACACAGGUUGCAAUGGGAUCACUAGAAUAAAAGCAUGCAGAAAUAAAAAAGGAGGACUUUC
rnacentral:lncRNA from 1 species